AAAAUCCAUGAUCCUAUGCUGCCGAGAAAAGCCUCUAGCGAGCUGGUACAUGGCCCGUACCCCAAACCGACACAGGUGGUCAGGUAGAGAAUACUAAGGCGAUCGAGAGAACUGUGGUUAAGGAACUCGGCAAAAUGCCCCCGUAACUUCGGGAGAAGGGGGACCAGUCCUGGUGACGACAUUUACUGUCUGAGCUGGGGUUGGUCGCAGAGACCAGAGAGAAGCGACUGUUUACUAAAAACACAGGUCCGUGCAAAGUCGUAAGACGAUGUAUACGGACUGACGCCUGCCCGGUGCUGGAAGGUUAAGAGGACCGGUCAGCCACUUCGGUGGCGAAGCUGAGAAUUUAAGCCCCAGUAAACGGCGGUGGUAACUAUAACCAUCCUAAGGUAGCGAAAUUCCUUGUCGGGUAAGUUCCGACCUGCACGAAUGGCGUAACGACUUCUCUGCUGUCUCAACCACAGACUCGGCGAAAUUGCAGUACGAGUAAAGAUGCUCGUUACGCGCGGCAGGACGAAAAGACCCCGGGACCUUCACUAUAGCUUGGUAUUGGUGUUCGGUUCGGUUUGUGUAGGAUAGGUGGGAGACUGUGAAACUCGCACGCCAGUGUGGGUGGAGUCAUUGUUGAAAUACCACUCUGACCGUAUUGGACAUCUAACCUCGGACCAUGAUCUGGUUCAGGGACAGUGCCUGGUGGGUAGUUUAACUGGGGCGGUUGCCUCCCAAAAAGUAACGGAGGCGCCCAAAGGUUCCCUCAGCCUGGUUGGCAAUCAGGUGUUGAGUGUAAGUGCACAAGGGAGCUUGACUGUGAGACGUACAUGUCGAGCAGGGACGAAAGUCGGGACUAGUGAUCCGGCACCGGCAAGUGGAAGCGGUGUCGCUCAACGGAUAAAAGGUACCCCGGGGAUAACAGGCUGAUCUUCCCCAAGAGUCCAUAUCGACGGGAUGGUUUGGCACCUCGAUGUCGGCUCGUCGCAUCCUGGGGCUGGAGUAGGUCCCAAGGGUUGGGCUGUUCGCCCAUUAAAGCGGCACGCGAGCUGGGUUUAGAACGUCGUGAGACAGUUCGGUCUCUAUCCGCCGCGCGCGUAAGAAACUUGAGGAAACCUGUCCCUAGUACGAGAGGACCGGGACGGACGAACCUCUGGUGUGCCAGUUGUUCCACCAGGAGCACCGCUGGUUAGCUACGUUCGGAAGGGAUAACCGCUGAAAGCAUCUAAGCGGGAAGCCUGUUCCAAGAUGAGGUUUCUCACCACCUAGCGUGGUUAAGGCCCCCCACAGACCAUGGGGUUGAUAGGCCAGAACUGUAAGCACAGCAAUGUGUUCAGGUGACUGGUACUAAUCGGCCGGGGACUUACAAC
rnacentral:rRNA from 1 species